rnacentral:rRNA from 1 species
CUGCUAAGACUGGAUAGGAAGAAAUAAGGCAUCUUAUUUCUUUUAAAAGACCUAGUAAUAGGUAUACUUUAGGAGGGGCUUGCGCCAUAUUAGUUAGUUGGUAGGGUAAUGGCCUACCAAGACGAUGAUGUGUAGCUGGACUGAGAGGUUGAACAGCCACAUUGGGACUGAGACACGGCCCAAACUCCUACGGGAGGCAGCAGUAAGGAAUUUUCGGCAAUGGAGGAAAUUCUGACCGAGCAACGCCGCGUGAACGACGAAGUACUUUGGUAUGUAAAGUUCUUUUAUCAAGGAAGAAAAGCAAGUGGCGAACCAUUUGUUUGCCGGUACUUGAUGAAUAAGCCCCGGCUAAUUAUGUGCCAGCAGCCGCGGUAAGACAUAAGGGGCAAGUGUUAUCCGGAAUUAUUGGGCGUAAAGGGUGCGUAGGCGGUCUAGUAAGUCAGUGGUGUAAUGGCAACGCUCAACAUUGUCCGACUAUUGAAACUGCUAAACUUGAGUUAGAUAGAGGCGAGUGGAAUUCCAUGUGUAGCGGUAAAAUGCGUAAAUAUAUGGAGGAACACCAGAGGCGUAGGCGGCUCGCUGGGUCUUAACUGACGCUGAGGCACGAAAGCGUGGGGAGCAAACAGGAUUAGAUACCCUGGUAGUCCACGCCGUAAACGAUGAGUACUAAGUGUCGGGUUAAACCGGUACUGAAGUUAACACAUUAAGUACUCCGCCUGAGUAGUACGUACGCAAGUAUGAAACUUAAAGGAAUUGACGGGACUCCGCACAAGCGGUGGAUCAUGUUGUCUAAUUCGAAGAUACCCGAAAAACCUUACCAGGUCUUGACAUGUUUUUGCGAAACGGUAGUAAUAUCGUAGAGGUUAUCAGAAACACAGGUGGUGCAUGGUUGUCGUCAGCUCGUGUCGUGAGAUGUUAGGUUAAGUCCUAAAACGAGCGAAACCCUUAUCGUUAGUUGCCAGCACGUAAUGGUGGGGACUUUAACGAGACUGCCAGUGAUAAAUUGGAGGAAGGUGAGGAUCACGUCAAAUCAGCAUGCCCCUUAUGACCUGGGCUACAAACGUGAUACAAUGGCUGUUACAAAGGGUAGCUGAAACGUAAGUUCUUGGCCAAUCCCCAAAAACAGUCUCAGUCCGGAUUGAAGUCUGCAACUCGACUUCAUGAAGUUGGAAUCGCUAGUAAUCGCGAAUCAGCAUGUCGCGGUGAAUACGUUCUCGGGGUUUGUA